rnacentral:rRNA from 1 species
CCGGCGCACGGGUGCGUAACGCGUAUGCAACUUACCUAUCAGGAGGGGAUAACCCGGUGAAAGUCGGACUAAUACCGCAUGAAGCAGGGGCCCCGCAUGGGGAUAUUUGCUAAAGAUUCAUCGCUGAUAGAUAGGCAUGCGUUCCAUUAGGCAGUUGGCGGGGUAACGGCCCACCAAACCGACGAUGGAUAGGGGUUCUGAGAGGAAGGUCCCCCACAUUGGUACUGAGACACGGACCAA